rnacentral:rRNA from 1 species
GGGUUGUGAGGUUAAGCGACUAAGCGUACACGGUGGAUGCCCUGGCAGUCAGAGGCGAUGAAGGACGUGCUAAUCUGCGAUAAGCGUCGGUAAGGUGAUAUGAACCGUUAUAACCGGCGAUUUCCGAAUGGGGAAACCCAGUGUGUUUCGACACACUAUCAUUAACUGAAUCCAUAGGUUAAUGAGGCGAACCGGGGGAACUGAAACAUCUAAGUACCCCGAGGAAAAGAAAUCAACCGAGAUUCCCCCAGUAGCGGCGAGCGAACGGGGAGCAGCCCAGAGCCUGAAUCAGUGUGUGUGUUAGUGGAAGCGUCUGGAAAGGCGCGCGAUACAGGGUGACAGCCCCGUACACAAAAAUGCACAUGCUGUGAGCUCGAUGAGUAGGGCGGGACACGUGGUAUCCUGUCUGAAUAUGGGGGGACCAUCCUCCAAGGCUAAAUACUCCUGACUGACCGAUAGUGAACCAGUACCGUGAGGGAAAGGCGAAAAGAACCCCGGCGAGGGGAGUGAAAAAGAACCUGAAACCGUGUACGUACAAGCAGUGGGAGCACGCUUAGGCGUGUGACUGCGUACCUUUUGUAUAAUGGGUCAGCGACUUAUAUUCUGUAGCAAGGUUAACCGAAUAGGGGAGCCGAAGGGAAACCGAGUCUUAACUGGGCGUUAAGUUGCAGGGUAUAGACCCGAAACCCGGUGAUCUAGCCAUGGGCAGGUUGAAGGUUGGGUAACACUAACUGGAGGACCGAACCGACUAAUGUUGAAAAAUUAGCGGAUGACUUGUGGCUGGGGGUGAAAGGCCAAUCAAACCGGGAGAUAGCUGGUUCUCCCCGAAAGCUAUUUAGGUAGCGCCUCGUGAAUUCAUCUCCGGGGGUAGAGCACUGUUUCGGCAAGGGGGUCAUCCCGACUUACCAACCCGAUGCAAACUGCGAAUACCGGAGAAUGUUAUCACGGGAGACACACGGCGGGUGCUAACGUCCGUCGUGAAGAGGGAAACAACCCAGACCGCCAGCUAAGGUCCCAAAGUCAUGGUUAAGUGGGAAACGAUGUGGGAAGGCCCAGACAGCCAGGAUGUUGGCUUAGAAGCAGCCAUCAUUUAAAGAAAGCGUAAUAGCUCACUGGUCGAGUCGGCCUGCGCGGAAGAUGUAACGGGGCUAAACCAUGCACCGAAGCUGCGGCAGCGACGCUUAUGCGUUGUUGGGUAGGGGAGCGUUCUGUAAGCCUGCGAAGGUGUGCUGUGAGGCAUGCUGGAGGUAUCAGAAGUGCGAAUGCUGACAUAAGUAACGAUAAAGCGGGUGAAAAGCCCGCUCGCCGGAAGACCAAGGGUUCCUGUCCAACGUUAAUCGGGGCAGGGUGAGUCGACCCCUAAGGCGAGGCCGAAAGGCGUAGUCGAUGGGAAACAGGUUAAUAUUCCUGUACUUGGUGUUACUGCGAAGGGGGGACGGAGAAGGCUAUGUUGGCCGGGCGACGGUUGUCCCGGUUUAAGCGUGUAGGCUGGUUUUCCAGGCAAAUCCGGAAAAUCAAGGCUGAGGCGUGAUGACGAGGCACUACGGUGCUGAAGCAACAAAUGCCCUGCUUCCAGGAAAAGCCUCUAAGCAUCAGGUAACAUCAAAUCGUACCCCAAACCGACACAGGUGGUCAGGUAGAGAAUACCAAGGCGCUUGAGAGAACUCGGGUGAAGGAACUAGGCAAAAUGGUGCCGUAACUUCGGGAGAAGGCACGCUGAUAUGUAGGUGAAGCGACUUGCUCGUGGAGCUGAAAUCAGUCGAAGAUACCAGCUGGCUGCAACUGUUUAUUAAAAACACAGCACUGUGCAAACACGAAAGUGGACGUAUACGGUGUGACGCCUGCCCGGUGCCGGAAGGUUAAUUGAUGGGGUUAGCCGCAAGGCGAAGCUCUUGAUCGAAGCCCCGGUAAACGGCGGCCGUAACUAUAACGGUCCUAAGGUAGCGAAAUUCCUUGUCGGGUAAGUUCCGACCUGCACGAAUGGCGUAAUGAUGGCCAGGCUGUCUCCACCCGAGACUCAGUGAAAUUGAACUCGCUGUGAAGAUGCAGUGUACCCGCGGCAAGACGGAAAGACCCCGUGAACCUUUACUAUAGCUUGACACUGAACAUUGAGCCUUGAUGUGUAGGAUAGGUGGGAGGCUUAGAAGUGUGGACGCCAGUCUGCAUGGAGCCGACCUUGAAAUACCACCCUUUAAUGUUUGAUGUUCUAACGUUGACCCGUAAUCCGGGUUGCGGACAGUGUCUGGUGGGUAGUUUGACUGGGGCGGUCUCCUCCUAAAGAGUAACGGAGGAGCACGAAGGUUGGCUAAUCCUGGUCGGACAUCAGGAGGUUAGUGCAAUGGCAUAAGCCAGCUUGACUGCGAGCGUGACGGCGCGAGCAGGUGCGAAAGCAGGUCAUAGUGAUCCGGUGGUUCUGAAUGGAAGGGCCAUCGCUCAACGGAUAAAAGGUACUCCGGGGAUAACAGGCUGAUACCGCCCAAGAGUUCAUAUCGACGGCGGUGUUUGGCACCUCGAUGUCGGCUCAUCACAUCCUGGGGCUGAAGUAGGUCCCAAGGGUAUGGCUGUUCGCCAUUUAAAGUGGUACGCGAGCUGGGUUUAGAACGUCGUGAGACAGUUCGGUCCCUAUCUGCCGUGGGCGCUGGAGAACUGAGGGGGGCUGCUCCUAGUACGAGAGGACCGGAGUGGACGCAUCACUGGUGUUCGGGUUGUCAUGCCAAUGGCACUGCCCGGUAGCUAAAUGCGGAAGAGAUAAGUGCUGAAAGCAUCUAAGCACGAAACUUGCCCCGAGAUGAGUUCUCCCUGACUCCUUGAGAGUCCUGAAGGAACGUUGAAGACGACGACGUUGAUAGGCCGGGUGUGUAAGCGCAGCGAUGCGUUGAGCUAACCGGUACUAAUGAACCGUGAGGCUUAACCUUACAACGCCGAAG